rnacentral:rRNA from 1 species
GACGAACGCUGGCGGCGUGCUUAACACAUGCAAGUCGAGCGGUAAGGCCCUUUCGGGGGUACACGAGCGGCGAACGGGUGAGUAACACGUGGGUGACCUGCCCUCAGCUCUGGGAUAAGCCUGGGAAACCGGGUCUAAUACCGGAUAUGACUCCAUGACGCAUGUUGUGGGGUGGAAAGCCUUGUGCGGCUGAGGAUGGGCCCGCGGCCUAUCAGCUUGUUGGUGGGGUGAUGGCCUACCAAGGCGACGACGGGUAGCCGGCCUGAGAGGGCGACCGGCCACACUGGGACUGAGACACGGCCCAGACUCCUACGGGAGGCAGCAGUGGGGAAUCUUGCGCAAUGGGCGAAAGCCUGACGCAGCGACGCCGCGUGAGGGAU